AUAGAUUUUGAUGUACUUUUUUUUUUUUUUUUUUUUUUAUUAAAUGUCAGUGAAUUUUACUGAAUAUUUGCAUCUAGUUCUGAAGUUGUCAGCAGCACACUGUGUCCACAGUUGAAUUAUUACAUUUGUCUUAUAUGUUGCUAUUGACAAAGAAGUUAAGAAGUUAAAGUAUCUUUAAGUGAAUUGUGCAUGCCUCAACAAACUGGAGGAGUGUUUGCACAGGUUGUUCAAUUUAAUGUUUACUGAAUAGUAGGAUUGUGUCUGGAUUUGAAAAAAUAAAGGACAAAUACCUACAGGUUCAGAUUUCAGUUCCCACUUGUCUUUGACACUUUCUGUUGCUGCAUUUGGUGAUUAGAUUAAACACAACUGUAGAUUGCAGAAGUGUUUGUUCAUAUGCUGUGACACUUUAUAUCUUUAGUAAAAAGGUUUUGUAAACUCAGAAUUUUAACAUUGUUUCAAAAAAAUGUGUGUUUCUUUUUGGUUGUCAUGUGCUGGUAAAGGGAUUUAAAAAAACACUAAAAGGAGUGUAGGAAGAUACAUAUUUUAAGUGUGUACUUUCAUUUCUGACAAGAAUUUAAUUUACCUUCAUUCAGCAAAGGAAAAGAACACAAUAUUAGAAAUAAUGGAGCCACACAAAACUUUUCUAAGGAUCCUACAGAGGUGUACUUAAGGGCUGGUUUGUAUAAUUUAUGAGUAAUUGUGACUACUUGGAACACAUGAUCAUGUGUGAGUAAAUUUUUGAUUUGUUGUAUAUUGGCACAAAUUAAGUGGGACUUCAGUUACCUGAGUAAACGUAUUCAGAUUUGUGACAAUUUUGUAUAUGAAACUAAAUUUCACUGUGGAAAUAAGUUGUAUACAAACUUUUUUGAGACACACGAUUGAGGCAUUUCUUCAGUGUCUAGAGGCUCAAGAUCAGAUAAGACUAACCAGACAAAAGCUUCAGGGUAUGUGUUGAUGUGGUUAUUGACUUUUAUGGAUUUGUCUUCCAAAUAAUUUAGAUUGCUCUUUUUUUGUUAUGCAGCCUUAAUGGUUUGAUCUGAUCUUGGGAAAAGACAACAUAUGUUUAUUACUGUAUUCUUGAAUGGGGCUAUAUUACUGUAUUAGGAACACCAUAUUGGUUUCAUAGUCUGACAAAAGUCCAUCUGUGCUGCCUUGUAAAUAAAAGUUCUUUUGCAAUAAAAAAAAAAUACCAUACAAGUCCUCUGGA